UACGUAGGGUGCAAGCGUUGUCCGGAAUUAUUGGGCGUAAAGAGCUCGUAGGCGGUUUGUCGCGUCGGCUGUGAAAACUCGGGGCUCAACCCCGAGCCUGCAGUCGAUACGGGCAGACUAGAGUGCUGUAGGGGAGACUGGAAUUCCUGAUGUAGCGGUGAAAUGCGCAGAUAUCAGGAGGAACACCGGUGGCGAAGGCGGGUCUCUGGGCGAGUAAACU
rnacentral:rRNA from 1 species